rnacentral:SRP_RNA from 1 species
GCUGGGUGUGGUGGUGCACACCUGUAAUCCCAGCUACUCGGGAGGCUGAGGCAGAAGAAUCGCUUGAACCCGGGAGGCGGAGGGUGCAGUGAGCCGAGAUCACGCCACUGCACUCCAGCCUGGGUGACAAAGCGAGACUCCUCUC